CAACGGAUAGCCAUUUCAGUGUCGGAAGUCUUCCGCCAGGUUGCACUCGUUCGGUGAAUGUUCGCACGCCUGGAGGUAUUUUGACUAGUUCCGUGUGUUACCCGCUGUAAUUAGUGUAAAAAAUAGUUUUUCUGUUAUUCACAGAUUGAAAAAUUCCACACUAUAAUAUUGUAUCGGAGUUCAACGGUUAACUGAAGUGAUAGUUGGAAUUAUUCGAAAAGGGGUCGAAACAACGAGAGCAAAACAAGACGAUUUUUGUGUACGUCAUGUCAGGCAUACCGACCAUCGCCAUCACAACGGAAUGUUCCGACGACGAGAUCGAAGAUGUUGCUAAUCUGAGCAUCAACGAGGCUCACACCGACACAGAAGAUUUAAUCAUGGAACAGGAUACAGUUCGCUUUCGGAAAAAUACGAAAAACAAGAAUUCUAUGAUCGAAGUCAUAAAACCAACUGUCAAUGGGUCCGUUACAGACGUAGAGGACUGUACCGACUCGGACGAUUAUGACGAUGAUGGCGAAGGGAAAUCGGCCAAGGAGGCGGAUAUCGUUCUGGACGACUUCCUAGAUCAAGGGUACACGGACGAAACUACUCAAUCGGAUUGUAAAGGAGAGAAACCAAAAACUACGUCACACAUCUCAUCGGUGGCACCGGUGACUAGUUCACUGCAAGUCUUUGUCGACACUAGUAAUGCACUCACGGAUUGCGAAGACAUGUCUGAUGAUGGUGAUGAUGACUCUGUUGAAAAAUCAUCAAUUCCGGACUGCCCGGAUGACAUACUAAUGAAAGAUAACGAGAAUGACGCAGUCGCGAUUCACAACGUAGUUAGACGUAGGCAAGAUAAGCAUUUUCACAAGCAAGAAGCUGCGGAUGAGAGCUCAUCGGAUUCAGAGGUAGAUACUAGUGUGCGCCAUCGGAAGUGUCAUCGACGAGCUGACGAUCGUCCCAAGUCAGAGUAUGAAAACUUUUUUAUAUCGGAUGAUGAAAAGGCUGGUGCAAGUGCUCUAACACCGAACCGUCAAGCGGUCUUGUUCGACGCAGAGGAACUGGUUAUGGAGAGUAGUGAUGUUGAGGAUGAUAAAACUAACCAGUUUCCGGAGAUCAACAUAUCGUUCGUCUGUGAUGAUCGAAGUGUCCACAUUAAACCAAUUAAGAAAAUAAGACCAUCGUCUUUGAUGGUGCAGGCCCCAAAUCCAGAUGAAGCACUAACGGAUGUCGAAAAUUUAGAUUCCUCCGAAAGUGAUGAUGACACAGAACUAAUGGGAAAGCGACUAUUACCGAUUGCCGUUGUUCGACCUGGCAGAGGCGCUGCAGGUGGCACUACUGACGUAGAAGAUUUCAAUGACAGUGAUGACUAUGACGAACAAGAUCAAAAACCAAUAGUCACUAAUGAGUUUCUGCCUUCGCCGGUUCGAGAGAUAGCCGUUGUCAAACAUGGUGAAUCGGGCAAUCAGAGACAGAAUGUAAUGCCAUUGAAUCAGGGUAUGUUGACAGUACGUACUCCGGAUGUUGAGCAAGCGUUGACAGAUGUUGAAGAUAUGUCAGAUAAUGAAGACGGUGAAGAGAUGUAUGACACUUCCAAGUACGCUAUAGAAUCUCUUCCGGAAGCGGUACACGAUGAUGUGUACUCUAGCGACUGUACACGUGCAAACAAUGUAAAACUGGAAGUGAAGAAAUCGACGUGUGAGCCAAUUACGGAUACUGAAGAUCUGUUUUUUGAGCGAAGCGCUUCCAACAGCGGCAGUGGAAGUGAGCUGAGACGUCGCCGCAAACCGAAGCAUGCGCAUGGAUACGGUAGCUCAGGCCAUCAGUUCAAAGGAAAGAAAUUCUUAGAUAUGAAACUCGAUUCCGCUCAAACAGCGAAUACGGAUGUAGAGGAUUUGUACCUGAGCGAUGACGCUAAAGAUUGUGGAUUUGAACGUACAAAGCAAAGACGGGCAACAAUACAGUGUUUGGAAGCUACAAACGACUACGACGGUAAAACUGACGUAGAAUUUCUUUCCGGCGAUGAACUUACCAAUGAUUGCGCAUUUCAAUCGCCCCAGAUUUCACACGACGGAUUUUCGUCGAUUACAAAGACACUAGAACGAAAUGGACCGACAUCCGAACGACUGCUCGAUGCGGCACCCGUUCCCAUGAUUCGUAGAAUAUCGCCUGGUCCUGAUACAUACUAUUGUAAUACGGACUGCGAAGAUAUUCAGGUUGUUUCCGACGGGGACGAUGAAAGUUACUCCAGGGCACAGACGGCCACUCCGAUGGAGUUGACUAGAGCCCUGCAGGAAAGUGGCAGUUCGGAGAUUUACGACACAAGCAGCCGACCCAAAAGCGAACUGCUAGACGUGAAAGGCAUGGUUGGCGGUGAACUACAAGAAAUACACACCGAUGUAGAGUUUCUCGAAGAUGACUUGGGCAAUGCCGUGGAACAAUAAAUCAGCACUAAAUACUGUACUGGUGUACUUUUGACAGUAAUGAUGACAAACAACAAGAAGAUAAACAUACGUCCGCAAGCUCUGAAGGGGACUUAACGUUUGAUGACGCAAAGGAGUCAGCGAAAGAAAAAACUCAGAGC